rnacentral:rRNA from 1 species
AUUGAACGCUGGCGGCAGGCCUAACACAUGCAAGUCGAGCGGCAGCGGGAAAGUAGCUUGCUACUUUUGCCGGCGAGCGGCGGACGGGUGAGUAAUGCCUGGGAAAUUGCCCAGUCGAAGGGGAUAACAGUUGGAAACGACUGCUAAUACCGUAUACGCCCUACGGGGGAAAGCAGGGGACCUUCGGGCCUUGCGCGAGUGGAUAUGCCCAGGUGGGAUUAGCUAGUUGGUGAGGUAAUGGCUCACCAAGGCGACGAUCCCUAGCUGGUCUGAGAGGAUGAUCAGCCACACUGGAACUGAGACACGGUCCAGACUCCUACGGGAGGCAGCAGUGGGGAAUAUUGCACAAUGGGGGAAACCCUGAUGCAGCCAUGCCGCGUGUGUGAAGAAGGCCUUCGGGUUGUAAAGCACUUUCAGCGAGGAGGAAAGGUUGAUGCCUAAUACGUAUCAACUGUGACGUUACUCGCAGAAGAAGCACCGGCUAACUCCGUGCCAGCCGCCGCCGUAAUAC